rnacentral:rRNA from 1 species
UACCGGCGGCUCGAGUGGUGGCCGAUAUUAUUGAGUCUAAAGGGUCCGUAGCCGGCUUCGCAAGUCCCUCGGGAAAUCCAGCGGCUUAACCGUUGGGCUAUCGGGGGCUACUACGUUGCUUGGGACUGGGAGAGGCGAGAGGUACUCAGGGGGUAGGAGUGAAAUCCCGUAAUCCUCUGGGGACCACCGGUGGCGAAGGCGUCUCGCCAGAACAGGUCCGACGGUGAGGGACGAAAGCUAGGGGC